rnacentral:rRNA from 1 species
UACGUAGGGUGCGAGCGUUAAUCGGAAUUACUGGGCGUAAAGCGUGCGCAGGCGGUUCGUUGUGUCGGCGGUGAAAGCCCCGGGCUCAACCUGGGAAUUGCAUUCGAGACUGCAUAGCUAGGGUGCGGAAGAGGGAAGCGGAAUUUCCGGUGUAGCGGUGAAAUGCGUAGAUAUCGGAAGGAACAUCAGUGGCGAAAGCGACUUCCUGGACCAAUACUGACGCUCAUGUGCGAAAGCGUGGGGAGCAAACAGG